CCUACGGGCGGCAGCAGUGGGGAAUAUUGCACAAUGGGGGAAACCCUGAUGCAGCGACGCCGCGUGAAGGAAGAAGUAUUUCGGUAUGUAAACUUCUAUCAGCAGGGAAGAAAAUGACGGUACCUGACUAAGAAGCCCCGGCUAACUACGUGCCAGCAGCCGCGGUAAUACGUAGGGGGCAAGCGUUAUCCGGAUUUACUGGGUGUAAAGGGAGCGUAGGCGGUUUAGCAAGUCAGAAGUGAAAGCCCGGGGCUCAACUCCGGGACUGCAUUUGAAACUGUUGAACUAGAGUGCAGGAGAGGUAAGUGGAAUUCCUAGUGUAGCGGUGAAAUGCGUAGAUAUUAGGAGGAACACCAGUUGCGAAGGCGGCUUACUGGACUGUAAAUGACGCUGAGGCUCGAAAGCGUGGGGAGCAAACAGGAUUAGAUACCCGAGUAGUC
rnacentral:rRNA from 1 species